rnacentral:rRNA from 1 species
UUCACGGAGAGUUUGAUCCUGGCUCAGGACGAACGCUGGCGGCGCGCUUAACACAUGCAAGUCGAGCGAGAACC